CAUUUAUCUAAAGCUAUCUGCAGCUAAUCAAUAUUUUGACCACCCUAAUAUUGUUAGACUCUUCCAACAAUCGGCCAUUUUGCCACGCCAGCUGACGACGAGAGUGUUGCAGGUUCAGGUUCCGGUUUAGAAACCACUGGAAAAAGUCAGCAUGAUCUCAGACGUUCAGCUUGCUAUCUUUGCCAACAUGAUGGGGGUGUCCCUCUUCCUGCUGGUGGUUUUAUACCACUAUGUAGCAGUCAACAACCCAAAGACCAAGAGGGAGGAAUGAUGAUAAGUCCUUGCUGUAGAGUGUUUUUGUAAUUGCAAAGUAAUGAUGUACCCUGGCAGCUGACUGGAUGGAUGCUGAUCCCUGUGCAGACAGAUGAUUGGCUGGAUUUCCAGUACCUCAUGGAGCAGUUGACUGAUCAACACACAGAUUUCUCACAAGACCUGCAAAGUCCACCAAACCUUACAUUUACAGCUUUUGCUCUUUUUCUGAUGUCUGCAACAGAGCGUGUCUACUGUCCACACCAAAUCUGUUUGAUGCUAACUUCAAAACAAUGUAACAUACUGAUAGCAUAAAGGAAACAAAAUCUACAUCUUUUUAGACAAACGUUUAAUAGCUCAGUUUGCCAACAGCUUGUUUCACUUAACCUAUCAAAGGUUAAGCGUUUAACUUUGUUAAGUUAAACAUCCAUCCAGUUACUCUAUUUGGUAAUUUAUAGAUGGCAUUGUCAAAAGAGACAGGUACAAAAGAUCCAAUGUGAUAAAUGCAUUCCAUCUUUUAAUAAAUAGUCCUUUUGUACAA